UGGCCAUUCAGAUUAUUUGUUCUUGCUUGAGAGAGAAGACUUGUUUUUGUGGAUACCCUGUACUAACUUUUCCCUGUCCUGCAACCUUCAGGUGCUGAUUCCUUGACCGGACUUGAGCUAACCAGAAACACUGAGACCCUGUCGGAACACUCCAGUGAAUCCUGGAUCAUACCAGCUGGCAAACCCUCCCAAGAGACCUCCCAGCUGAGCGAACACUGUCCGCCCUCCAGCGCCAUCCACUUGGCACCGCCUUACCAGCCGCUGUGGAUGAAGGCUGACUAUGUUCACACUCACUCCAGGUUCUGCGCCCCCUCCCUGGCGGACCUCCCCACUCUCACCUGUAAGCCGCACAUCAUUCUCUGGCACGUUUCUGAGGUCCAGUCAUUAACCAGAGUCUUUUUCAGUGGGUACCACUCCCAAUCUCCCGUUUCUCCUCCUCCUGGGCUUGUAGUUAAUAAACCUAAUCACAAGAACUGUAUUUUGUCUCUGGGUGUCUCUGCAUGUGGGUCAGGUCGGCAGUAAACAUCAUGACAGAAAUCUACCCAAAUUAAAUGAUUGCAAAUUGUUACACAAAUUUUAUUGGUGGAAUUCUAACAGUUUGUUUUAGCUUCUUUGGGCCCCACUCCUGAAAACCACCCGCUGUCGGGGUUUUGGGUUCUGUGUUUGUGUUUUGUCUGCACUUUUGUUUUCAGUUUCCAGAUGGUGCUGGAGUUUCUCAGGUGUGCUGGGUGACAGGUGCAACUGAUCUGCUGUUUGCAUUGGAGGAGUAUUUAAGCAGGAGGCUGCCAGCACUUCGAUGCCAGAGUGUUUGCCUUCUGUGGCAGAAAUCUGAACCUUCUGAUCAUUCUUCUUUGAAUUUUGACUUUGGUUCCAGAAGUUUCUGGACGAUCAAGAUUACCUAUGUUUGGUGGAUUUUGUUUCUAAGUACCAAGCUGGCAGCUUCCUGUUAUCCUCCGUCUCCUAAACCAAGGCAGAAGCAUACCUUGUCCACCCUCCAACGCAAGUACCUGAACAUUGAAUUAACUCCUGAACUCACCAGAACUCACUCUACAGCUCAAGUAAAACCAUCUGGAUUUCUCCACUUCGCACACCUGGGUCCUGACUCCCUCUACCCCUGGUGACCUGACUACAUUCACCUAUUGGUGAUCCUACCAUUCACGUUCCAGUUUCACUUCUUGUCAAUAAAACACCUUUUACUGA